GGUGAUAUGAACCGUUAUAACCGGCGAUUUCCGAAUGGGGAAACCCAGUGUGAUUCGUCACACUAUCAUUAACUGAAUCCAUAGGUUAAUGAGGCGAACCGGGGGAACUGAAACAUCUAAGUACCCCGAGGAAAAGAAAUCAACCGAGAUUCCCCCAGUAGCGGCGAGCGAACGGGGAGGAGCCCAGAGCCUGAAUCAGCAUGUGUGUUAGUGGAAGCGUCUGGAAAGGCGCGCGAUACAGGGUGACAGCCCCGUACACAAAAGCGCAUGUGCUGUGAGCUCGAUGAGUAGGGCGGGACACGUGGUAUCCUGUCUGAAUAUGGGGGGACCAUCCUCCAAGGCUAAAUACUCCUGACUGACCGAUAGUGAACCAGUACCGUGAGGGAAAGGCGAAAAGAACCCCGGCGAGGGGAGUGAAAAAGAACCUGAAACCGUGU
rnacentral:rRNA from 1 species